rnacentral:rRNA from 1 species
UGGCUUUGACAUGUUAGUGAAAAUUCGGUGAAAGCCGAACCCUCCAAGAGCUUGCUCGAGGACACUAUCAC